rnacentral:rRNA from 1 species
UUUUAACGAGAGUUUGAUCCUGGCUCAGGAUGAACGCUGGCGGCGUGCUUAACACAUGCAAGUCGAACGAAGCACUUGAAUGGAAUUCUUCGGAAGGAAGCUCAAGUGACUGAGUGGCGGACGGG